rnacentral:lncRNA from 1 species
AUGUUGGGGGCCCCGGAGCUGGACACAGCACUCCAGGUGGGAUCUCACCACAGCGGUGCAGAGGGGCAGACUCCCCUCCCUUGCCCCGCUGCCCACGCUUCUCUCCAUGCAGCCCAAGAUGGGGGCUGGCUUUCUGAGCUGCCAGCAUCUCCAUCUCCCUCCUCUUCAUCCCCACCUUCCUUCGGCUGGGGCUUUGGCGACCGGGGGUGCCCCCGGCCUCAGCCAUGCCAGGAGCGGCACCCUGCCUCCUCCCGGUGGGGCGGGCGGGGGGUCUCCGGCUGCCGGUCGCCGCCGUGCCUACCUGCGGGGAAACGGAGCCCCUCGCCGCCCGAACCGUCCCGUCCCGUCCCGUCCCGUCCCGUCCCCCCCAAACCGGCGGCCUCCGCCACCCCUCCCCGCUUGGCCUUUCCCUACCCCGCUCCCUUACCUGCUCCGGUGGGCGCUGCCCGGCCCCCCCCCACCCGCGGCCCUUACCGCCGUGGGGGCCCGGGCCGCGUCACGCGGGGUGAAACCGAAAGGCACAACGGGGCGGCUUCCGCGCCCGCGGCGGCGAUGGAGGAGUCCGGCGGCGGCCAGGUCUACUUCUCCCCGCUCUGGCGCCGGGAUGCGCUGCGGCGGCUGCGACGGCUCCGGCGACGGAUCUCCACCGACCCGCUGCUGGCCCCGCUGCCCCCCGGGGCCUUCCGGCCCAAGGGAGGGCCGGCGACGGAGCAAAAGCGGGGAGAGCGGCCGGGUGAGACGGGAGGGACCGCACGGGAGGGGACCGCACGGGAGGGGACGGGAGCUGCGGCGAGGCCCCGGCCGGUGCCCGAGAGGAGAGGGGUUGGGAUGGGGUGGGCCGAGGACCGUCCCUCCCCGUCCCUGCGCUGGGGGGGGGGGGGGGGGCUGCGUCCUGCGGGGAUUUCUGGGAGCUUCGGCAAUUCAAUACCUCUGAAAAUCCGCUCGAGUUUUAGAAAUACUGAAGCUCGGCGGUACCCAGCCCUUUCAGGGGUGGUUGCAACCUGUUUGGAACACCUUAGAAUCACAGAACCAUAG